AGGAGGAGACUGUUGGCACAGCUUGUUUCUGGUACUGGUGUCUACAAAACCCUUAUCAAGUACUUGGUUGGGGUUCCACAGGUUUUACUAGAUUUUGUUCGCCAAAUAAAUGAUGAUGAUGGGCCCAUGGAAGAGCAACGACAGCGUUAUGGACCACCUUUGUACAGCCUUACAACUUUGGUGCUUCUUAUACGUCUGGCUAUUUUGCUGUCUCGGGGGCGGUUUGAAACUAGAAAAUUAAACAAGCAAGAGGUAGCUGUCUUGGAACAAUCUAUUGACGUCUACACCACUGAGUUUGAAAG